rnacentral:rRNA from 1 species
GGCUCAGAGCGAACGCUGGCGGCAGGCCUAACACAUGCAAGUCGAACGAACUCUUCGGAGUUAGUGGCGGACGGGUGAGUAACACGUGGGAACGUGCCUUUAGGUUCGGAAUAACUCAGGGAAACUUGUGCUAAUACCGAAUGUGCCCUUCGGGGGAAAGAUUUAUCGCCUUUAGAGCGGCCCGCGUCUGAUUAGCUAGUUGGUGAGGUAAAGGCUCACCAAGGCGACGAUCAGUAGCUGGUCUGAGAGGAUGAUCAGCCACAUUGGGACUGAGACACGGCCCAAACUCCUACGGGAGGCAGCAGUGGGGAAUCUUGCGCAAUGGGCGAAAGCCUGACGCAGCCAUGCCGCGUGAAUGAUGAAGGUCUUAGGAUUGUAAAAUUCUUUCGCCGGGGACGAUAAUGACGGUACCCGGAGAAGAAGCCCCGGCUAACUUCGUGCCAGCAGCCGCGGUAAUACGAAGGGGGCUAGCGUUGCUCGGAAUUACUGGGCGUAAAGGGAGCGUAGGCGGACAUUUAAGUCAGGGGUGAAAUCCCGGGGCUCAACCUCGGAAUUGCCUUUGAUACUGGGUGUCUUGAGUAUGAGAGAGGUGUGUGGAACUCCGAGUGUAGAGGUGAAAUUCGUAGAUAUUCGGAAGAACACCAGUGGCGAAGGCGACACACUGGCUCAUUACUGACGCUGAGGCUCGAA